AUGCUCCCUUUGGCUUCACAUAUACCAAAAUUAGAAUGACAUAAAGAAGAUUAGCAUGGCCCCUGUGCAAAUGAUGUACGAAUUUAUGAAGUGUUCCAUAUUUUU
rnacentral:snRNA from 1 species